UUCACCCCAGACGGUAUUUAACCAGAAAGCCCGGCUAAUACGUGCCAGCAGCCGCGGUAAUACGUAGGUGGCAAGCGUUAUCCGGAUUUAUUGGGCGUAAAGCGAGCGCAGGCGGUCUUUUUAAGUCUAAUGUGAAAGCCUUCGGCUCAACCGAAGAAGUGCAUUGGAAACUGGGAGACUUGAGUGCAGAAGAGGACAGUGGAACUCCAUGUGUAGCGGUGAAAUGCGUAGAUAUAUGGAAGAACACCAGUGGCGAAGGCGGCUGUCUGGUCUGUAACUGACGCUGAGGCUCGAAAGCAUGGGUAGCGAACAGGAUUAGAUACCCUGGUAGUCCAUGCCGUAAACGAUGAUUACUAAGUGUUGGAGGGUUUCCGCCCUUCAGUGCUGCAGCUAACGCAUUAAGUAAUCCGCCUGGGGAGUACGACCGCAAGGUUGAAACUCAAAAGAAUUGACGGGGGCCCGCACAAGCGGUGGAGCAUGUGGUUUAAUUCGAAGCUACGCGAAGAACCUUACCAGGUCUUGACAUCUUCUGCCAACCUAAGAGAUUAGGCGUUCCCUUCGGGGACAGAAUGACAGGUGGUGCAUGGUUGUCGUCAGCUCGUGUCGUGAGAUGUUGGGUUAAGUCCCGCAACGAGCGCAACCCUUAUUACUAGUUGCCAGCAUUCAGUUGGGCACUCUAGUGAGACUGCCGGUGACAAACCGGAGGAAGGUGGGGACGACGUCAAAUCAUCAUGCCCCUUAUGACCUGGGCUACACACGUGCUACAAUGGAUGGUACAACGAGUCGCGAAACCGCGAGGUUUAGCUAAUCUCUUAAAACCAUUCUCAGUUCGGACUGUAGGCUGCAACUCGCCUACACGAAGUCGGAAUCGCUAGUAAUCGCGGAUCAGCAUGCCGCGGUGAAUACGUUCCCGGGCCUUGUACACACCGCCCGUCACACCAUGAGAGUUUGUAACACCCAAAGCCGGUGGGGUAACCUUUUAGGAGCUAGCCGUCUAAGGUGGACAGAUGAUUAGGG
rnacentral:rRNA from 1 species